UGACCUUAAAGCAAUAUUAUCUAAAUAAAAAAGAUUUACGAUACACUUUUGCUUCUUUUCCUUUUGUUUGCCCUGUCCGGCUAUUUUGUUACAAUGGGAUAAAUUGUCAGGAAUCGGUCGAUUCUUUAGGUAGAACGGAUCAACUUCCAAUGAAAUGUAUAACCAUUCGACCGUAGAAAUAGUUCCAAUUAAUUUUAAUCUUAUUGAAAAAAGACAUGAAAUAUUACAAUGUUAAUUGAAAUAAAAAUGAUAUGUGAUGAAAAUUAUAAUUGUAGCAACCAAACCAAAGAAAUAGUAAAUUAAUGAUCAUAAACUUAACGUGUUGUGCAAAAAUAAGCAAAACCUUCUACAGCAUCUUCAUCCGACACAGAUACUGAAGCGGAAGUAGCUUAUUCAGUGAAAGUACAGUUUGUUUUGCAGUUAUACAAUUGAAUUAUAUCAUUUAUAGGUAGUACGUUGAAGUACCUGAUAUAAAGCUACAUAUUUUAUCGUUUAGAAAAUAGACCUCUUUUGGUUUUAUGUUAAUUAAAUAUUUAUUGUUCGAAUAAAUGUGCGUUUCCUUACCAAUUCAUGGUGCUGAACAGAUUUAAAAUGAAUUGAAAUAGAUAUAACUGCUAAUUUGUGACACACUUUUUUUCGUUUGGCGCCCGAAAAAUUGACCUUCUUUGCAAAUUAGUCACCAAAUCUUAUACAUACAUGUAAACAUAUCAUACAUAUUGUCACAAAUGACCUUUAUUUCGAAAAUACGUGUUAUCACUAUGGGUCAUGCUAGAUAACAGACUGGGAAUUUUAAAGCUAUAAACAGCAUGAUUAAAUAACAUCUUCUGUCGGCUUAAAAUGAUUAUAUGUUGACGUCAUAAUAUAACAGAUAUAGUAGUUUCGGUUUAAUUUUUACAAUUGCACAAUUAUCUUAAACCUAUGUUAACAAUAGUAACUGUAUUUAAGUUGAAUUUCUAAAUUUUUUUGUUUUGUUUUCUUUUCAUAUUAUUGAGAUAAUUUUGCACCGGAGUGGACUUUCAACCGUUUCCUUGAUAAAGUCGUUUGUAAUUUAGAUCAAAACCACGAAACGUUUUUGCGACUUAAAUGGAAACUUGAAGAGAGAGGCUUUGAACAUAUAACAGCAUUAAUUUUUAUCCAAAAGGAAAAUGCCAGAUCUUACGACAUGGCGAUACUAUAUGAUUUUACAGAGGACUUUUUGUCAUUUCUAAUGGUACCAUCAGCAAAAACCUUUGUCAUAGGGAUAGAACCUUAUGAUAACGGCCUUAAAAUAACAUUUAAGAUGCCGGAGAUAUGUCUUCAGGUUUUGAAAAAUGGACGAGUGAAAAAUAUUUGCGAUGAGGUAAUGAAAGCUUCACAUAGAAACAAUACUGGCGAGAAACCAAACAUUCUCAAUUGAAGGUCAGGAAGACAAAAUGCCCGAAGAGGAAAGUUGUUUUAAAGCUUUAAAUAUUGCAGGAGAAUUGAUACAAGAACAAAUUGACCAACUUUGGAAAAUCGGAUGUUUACCGGAUCGUCUGCUGAAGUUACACACGGAAUCUGGAAUGUCUGUGACUUUAUGGAAAACUCUUGUAAAAACUCGGAAUGGAAAACUGGCCUCUCAUUACAUUCCCCUGCAAAAUCAUAUUGAACUUGAAAAACAGUCCUUACAUUGUAAAGUAGUUAGAAUACAUUGUAAAGUAGUUAGAAUUUAUCCACAUAUUAAAGAACCAUUGUGUUGUAAAACUUGAACUGUUGUCUUUACUUUAUGCCAGUUAAUAUCUAUAGGUCGUUUUCUAUGCAUUGUUUAAACUUAUUAUAUCAAUGUAUCAGUUUAAAUACGACGAAUCUACAAUAACAUCUGAUCAUUUUUAGGAAUGUCAUUGAUAUGAAAAUAUAUUGAAAUAACAGCAAUUCCGUUGCUUAAGAUGCCAUCUGUAUAAGCAUAUUAUUUAUUAAAAUUUA